CGGUAAUACGUAGGGGGCAAGCGUUAUCCGGAAUUAUUGGGCGUAAAGAGUACGUAGGUGGCUAUGUAAGCGCAGGGUGAAAGGCAGUGGCUUAACCAUUGUUAGCCUUGCGAACUGCAAAGCUUGAGUGCAGGAGAGGAAAGCGGAAUUCCUAGUGUAGCGGUGAAAUGCGUAGAUAUUAGGAGGAACACCAGUGGCGAAGGCGGCUUUCUGGACUGUAACUGACACUGAGGUACGAAAGCGUGGGUAGCAAACAGGAUUANAUACCCUGGUAGUCCACGCCGUAAACGAUGANCACUANGUGUCGGGGCUGUAAAGUUUCGGUGCCNCANUUACGCAAUAAGUGCUCCCCUGGGGAGUACNCACNCAGUGUGAAACUCAANGAAUUGACGGGAACCNCACANCANCGAACAUGUGNUUAAUNC
rnacentral:rRNA from 1 species